ensembl:snRNA U6 U6 spliceosomal RNA
GUGCUCUUUUCAGCAGCACAUAUACUAAAACUGGAAUGAUACAGAGAAGAUCAGCAUGACUCCUGCACAAGGAUCACAUGCAAAUUUGUGAAGUGUUCCAUAUUUUA